AGAUGACAAACGCAUGCUUGAGAAGGAAAAGUCAAAGCUGGAAAGAAAGCACCUGCAUGGGAGAACAUUCUCUAGUUUGAAGAGACAACCCUCCUCCUCAUCAGUACAGCCAUUUGAAUCUCCUCAGAGACAAAGAUCGUCUGUAAUCACCAGCUAGACUUCAUUCUGAUUACCGCACCUUGUUAUCUUGCUUGACUUCGUCUUCAGUGGACAUCUUCAUUUCCAUAUAUGUUUCUUGAUUGCUAUACAUAUAGUUUUGGAUCCAUCUUUUACAUGGGCUGUCUUCUGUUUUGUCAUUUAUUGGUAUCAAGACAGCUCCUCCCUGAUUUUUGCUCACUAGAGCACCAGGAUGCAGGAGCAUGGUACACACAAGGAGGGAAGAACGGAGGGAGAGGAGGUGGAGAGUAAAUGAUGAUAGUAAUGGUGACCAAAGUGUGUCAUUGCUCCCAGCAUCACCUCAGAGACUGGUACAUCAGCAUAACCACAUGCAAAAAGGAGAGAGUAGUCCCUGCCUCAGGAUAUCCUUUGCAUCUUUUCAUUAUGUUUGACAUGGUGCCAGUGGCAGAAAGACGGCAGAGAAUUCACAAGCCAGAUCAUUCACAUGGGAAUUAAUACAGUACAAGAAUUACAACCACAAUGGCAUACAACAGCAGGAGAGCUCAAGGCUGACUGGAUGCUGCCCAGAAGAUCAUUUUAAGACUACCCUGGUCAAAAUCUGUGGAAGACUGCAUGCUGUGAUCCAUUAGUUAAACUUUUGUUUCACCUUUCGUUUGAAACCCUUCUCCCUUUAAAUUUGCUUAAAAAAAUUGAAGUGCCAUAUCUGGAAUGUCAAUGAAUGCCAUAGUAAAAGCCUACAUUUGUCACUAAAAAGGUUCUUACACAUGUUAGCCCUAUUUUCUUGCAGUUUUAGGUGUCAAUUAAUAUUUGAAUUGAUGGCAGUUGGGUGUAUUUGAUUACCUUUGCAAGGAAACUGCAGUGGAGCAAGCCAGCUGUUGAUUUAUGGAAGUUCUCACUGACUGCUGUGGCCCAUCCUUACCAUACUUUGUUGGUGACUUACACAUUUUGAUCAGCAUUAAACUCACUAUUAUUUUGGCAGCAUUAUCCAGGACAAAGAGUGGCACAGUACUGUAAUGGUUGGCACAAUGCUUUACAGUACCAGCGACCCGGGCUCAUUUGCCACCAUGUCUGUAAGGAGUUUGUAUGUUCGCCCCAUGACCAUGUAGGUUUCCUCUUGGUGCUCUGUUUUC